rnacentral:rRNA from 1 species
UACGAAGGGGGCUAGCGUUGUUCGGAAUUACUGGGCGUAAAGGGCGCGUAGGCGGUGUGUCAAGUCAGGCGUGAAAGCCCCGGGCUCAACCUGGGAACAGCGCUUGAGACUGGCACGCUCGAGUUCGGGAGAGGAUGGUGGAAUUCCCAGUGUAGCGGUGAAAUGCGUAGAUAUUGGGAGGAACACCGGUGGCGAAGGCGGCGUCCUGGACCAACACUGACACUGAGGAGCGAAAGCCAGGGGAGCAAACGGG